rnacentral:lncRNA from 1 species
UUAGACUCUGAAACCAUCCCGAGCUAGAAGGAAACUCCAAUAUUCAUAAUACACCAUUGCAGCCAAGGUCACUGUCAUGGCCAUGGGAAGGGAUGCAGAUCAGAGCCCAAGCAACGCCACUAAGCGUCGAAGGUCAGCCUUUCCGAAGGAGGAAAAAAAAGACUAUAGGCCCUGAGAUGCUUUACAUCAACAGAAAAUUCAAUCCUUCGCACGGUAGAAAAUCUAUCUAUAACACACUAAAGAUCAAAAGACCAAUGACCCAAGAUAAGCUAGGAGAAUAUCAGUAUCACCUCCAACAUGCAAUCAAAUCCGCCAGACCCAGCCUCUAAAGACAAGAUUUGGUACAAAUGGACAUAGAAAUUUAAUAACCAGCAGAUUCCAAACAAAAUAAUCUAUAUUUAAACACUGAAGCUACAAAACAAAAAAAAAAGACAAAAAAAAAAAAAUCAAUCCAAAAUCCAUAAAAAAACCUUACAAAAGAAGCCUCGAUCUUAGUGUAGAACACCCAGAACUAAACAUGUAAGGAACCCUUUAUCCAUUAAGCGUCGAUCUAUAACUCGAAAGAAACAAAAUAAAAACUCAUUUACAACCCAUUCAGUGAAAGAAGGGCCGACCCAUAAUUCAAGUAGAGGAGGAGACGUUCCUCUGUCCAAAAGGAGCAGAGGGGAGCGAAUGCCGACAAAAGAAGGAGACCUCCGAUGCUAACAAAAGGAGACCUUACUCUAGAAGAAAAGGGAAAAACCAAAAAAAA